CACCUUUCUCUUUCCCCUAUUCUGCAAUUAAUCGGUGAUCUCAACCUAGAAACCCUAGGAAGAAAUCGUUGCUUUCCACUAACUCUCUUCGCCUCCAUCCAAGCGUUGCAGCAGUCCACGGAAGAAAGAGCGCCGCUGCUGAAAUCUAUCCAACCUUGCUCUCUCAUCGUUUAUGAUUGCAUCUGGUGGAGGGCGGCACUAUCUGCUAUUCGUAGAUGCCCGUAUGAUGCUCUUGAUUCCUACUCCGACGCGACAGAAAGAGGAAGGUAACCGCAAAGCUGCAGAAGAGGACUCUCGAAGGAAAUCUGUAGAAGCUCAAAAUAAGUUCUUGGAUGACGUAAUGAGUACAACAACACACCACUUUGAAGAGACGCAAUAGAAGGGACCCGUUGAUGCUGAAAAGAUAGUUGCAAAGUACCACAGACCUUGAACGGUGAAUGAUGUUUUAGGAGGAUGAACGUUAUUGUGUUUUGUUUAAAAUUUUUUUUUAGGAAACUAACUCUUGAUGGUAGAUGACUGUUUGUUUCUUUUGAUGUAUACAUUGAUGGUUUUUGGGUUACUUUUUGUUUGGUGUAGACAUUGAAUGUUAAACACGCAUAACUCAUUAUUUA